ACAUGCCUACAAAAUAGCGUUAAUGCAUCGGAUCCCAUUAGAAAUCCACACUUAAGCAUGCUCGCUCUAGAGUAGUACUGGGAUGGGUGACCGCUUGGGAAUUACUAGUAUUUUACAUGCC
rnacentral:rRNA from 1 species